rnacentral:rRNA from 1 species
UACAGAGGGGGCAAGCGUUAUUCGGAAUUAUUGGGCGUAAAGCGCGUGUAGGCGGCUUUGCAAGUCGGGUGUGAAAGCCCUCAGCUUAACUGAGGAAGUGCGCCCGAAACUGCAUGGCUUGAGUACCGGAGAGGAUGGUGGAAUUCCCGAAGUAGAGGUGAAAUUCGUAGAUAUCGGGAGGAACACCGGUGGCGAAGGCGACCAUCUGGAUGGAUACUGACGCUGAGACGCGAAAGCGUGGGUAGCAAACAGG